rnacentral:lncRNA from 1 species
AUAUAAACACUACUAAUGUGUGUGUUCCAUCCGAUGUGGGACUUCCACUUUUUUCAAUUCACACAACACUAGUUCUACCCAACAUGGGAAUUUGUGUUUAGUCUUUUUAACUCAAUUUUCACACAUGUUCCAACAAUCCCCCACUUGAAUUUAAAAAAUGGUUUCAAAAAUAACGUCAAAGACAUCUCCAUAAGAUUUGCUAGUAAACAAAGGUGUCGCCUACAACUUGAACCUCUGCAUAGCGAGUAAAAUUCUGAUUAUCAAGAGUUGCUUACAGCAUUGAACUCUAUCUCAGACAUAGAACCCACACACAAACCUUUUCAUAAGGUGUAUUCUAAAAGCCCGUGCGUUUAUGGCCCUGCACGUCUAUCCCAGUUUUAACGAACGCUCUAGGUAUUUUGCCCCGAAUACCAUAGGAAUCGGCCUAAGUUCCACAUUCGUAUAGGUGAGUCUAUCAAGAGUACUCCUGUAGCUAGGUACUCCACUCCACAUAGAGUAUAGAUCUCAUUAAGAGUUUCUAUUAUCUCAUCCUUCUGUCACUGCAGGAAUCAUGCUUUCUUACUUUUCUCAUAGCAUGUUCUAUCACUCAUGACUUGUUAUUACCCAUUGAACCUAUUUCUUGGGAUCUCCAAUCAUGUAGGUCGGGUUACCAUCACUUGUGACUUUUGGGCAUUAGUCCCAUCUUGUUGGAUGUGUUUAGGACUUUCUUUCUAGUAAUUCCUUUCGUCAAAGGAUUGACUAAUUCUUUAUCAGUACGUGUACGAUAUACUUUAACCGUUCCUUUUAGAGCUCUCUAAUCAUUCUGUGUUCGUGCCUUAAUUACCGUCUCUCACCAUUGUGGUAACGAUUCUCAAUUUUGUAAUAGCUGCAGACUAUCACAAUAAAUUAACACUUCGGACAACGGUUUCACCCACUGUGGGUUCUUAGCUAGCAAGCAUCUUAUCAACUUGCUUCUUCACUAGUUUUCUCUAGUGUUCUCAUCUCAUAUUCAUUCCAUAAUAUCAUUUGUUUCAACAAAUAACUCCUCCAGUGAUGCUCAAUGGGCAGUCACUGGUCGCUUUGAGACUCAUCUGAAGGAUGUUCAAUUUUUUAUCUUGUACCACUCAUGUACAAUAUGAUACUUCUCAUUUGUAUCUUGUACCAUUUAAGUACAAUAGGAUACUUCUCAUAAUGUAAUCCUAGAGUCAUAAUCUUCUUAAGGCACCUCAUGACUCUUUCAAUAGCAUGACAAUGUUUCUCAUCUGUCUACUAGUAAACUUGAACAAAAGUCUUACGACGUGGCCAACGUCGAGUCUAAUACAUUCAAUGGCAUAUCUAAAGACUACCAAUGAUGCUCACACUCAAGUGUUCUUGAAAAGUUUUACACUUGCAAGUUUACAGUCAAAGAAUUACAUUUCCUUAAGAUAUUCUCAACUUUGUGAGAUUCAUCAACUUUUCUGAUCUAGUAAUCUUGAAACCAAGAAUUACUUCACCUUUGUCUAGGUCUUUCUUAUCAAUGUUGUUGAUAAACAAUGAUUUCACAUAAUUCAUAACAUGAAUCUUUAAACCAAAUAUGAGCAAGUCGUCUUCAUAGAGACAUAUGAUCGUGCAAAUAUUAUUUGUCACUUUCAUUCACUUUAUACUCAUUCGAUAGC